rnacentral:rRNA from 1 species
CUUGCUUCUCUUGAGAGCGGCGGACGGGUGAGUAAUGCCUAGGAAUCUGCCUGGUAGUGGGGGAUAACGUUCGGAAACGAACGCUAAUACCGCAUACGUCCUACGGGAGAAAGCAGGGGACCUUCGGGCCUUGCGCUAUCAGAUGAGCCUAGGUCGGAUUAGCUAGUUGGUGAGGUAAUGGCUCACCAAGGCUACGAUCCGUAACUGGUCUGAGAGGAUGAUCAGUCACACUGGAACUGAGACACGGUCCAGACUCCUACGGGAGGCAGCAGUGGGGAAUAUUGGACAAUGGGCGAAAGCCUGAUCCAGCCAUGCCGCGUGUGUGAAGAAGGUCUUCGGAUUGUAAAGCACUUUAAGUUGGGAGGAAGGGCAGUUACCUAAUACGUGAUUGUUUUGACGUUACCGACAGAAUAAGCACCGGCUAACUCUGUGCC